UCCAAAGUGGCUGCACCAGUUCACAUUCCCACCAACAGUGUAAGAGGGUUCUUAUACAGCAACAAAUAUAUACAGUACAAAUAUAUAUCCAAUAAAAGAUAUUGAAGAGUUUUCAGUGGAAAAAUGAUAAAACUUUAUUUAAAAACAUUGUAGAAACCCUAAGCAAAGGAAAAGCCUUAUGUCCAUGAAUUAGAGCAUCAAUACACCAAAUCCAUCAAAUAGCCCCCCACUCCAAGGGGGGGCUAAUCCUAAUCCUAAUGGACUUUUCACAAAUUUGAGACGCUGCCUGCCAAGAGAUGGUGGUUUUUCUUUGUUGAACUUUUUAAAUGUGAUUUUCCACAUCUUCCAAGAACCAACCAAACCAUUUGCUGAGGUCUGGUAAUUUAGGUAGGCUGUCAUGUUUGCGAUGGCUUUCAGUUUCCUAGGAAGGGAGGGGAUACACCCCUCAUCUUACAGUGGGUGGGAUUAGAGGGAUAGAUGUGAGCUUUUCUUUCUAACCAGCUGCUUCCAUGGGGCUUUCUUCUCAUCUAGAUCAAGAUGAUUCCAUCCACUUGGACUCCAUUUAUAAUAACUUCCAGCCCUCCCUGGACCACAUAGACUCUGAAACAAAGAUCAAAAUUCAGAGGCCCCAGGUGAUGAUGACAUCGAUUUAAGGCAAAGGCAGUUUCACGUGGAGCUGUGGGGUCUGGGAAUGAAGAGAAUUUACUUUGGCUAAGCCUGGUGGAACUUUCCCCAUUGAGAGCAUUCCAUGGAACCUGAUGAAAAACAGAACCUAUACGAAGAAAGAAGAGAGAGACCACAGUGCUGGGAAACUCAAAUAGAAACACCAUGGAAACUCUGAUGGGCUUGUCAUGAUCCCAGGCAAGGCGCUCCUGUUCAAACAGGGAAGUUCUUCCUCCCGCCUGCCUUGCUUCAGCACCAAGGAGAGCGUCCAAACCACUCCUCAACAGUGGCUAGCACUACAAUUUAAGACUGAACUUUACAUUAUACAAAGCCUCUUGUAAGAUUUCUUGCACUUCACUUUCAUGAAAAGCAUGUUUUAAACAAUUCAGCAUUUCCUUUGAAUAUAUAGGAUUAUUACUAUUUUUAAUGUUCUAAUAUUUAUCUAUAGGUCCUGAUUUUUUAUUAGUCAAUAUAAUAAUAUAUAUUUCUAAUGGCUAAAAGCAACAAAAGCACAUUCAUUAAAUUUUUCAUGGUUCCUA